CCUACGGGAGGCAGCAGUGGGGAAUAUUGGGCAACGGGCGCAAGCCUGACCCAGCAACGCCGCGUGAAGGAAGAAGGCUUUCGGGUUGUAAACUUCUUUUCUGAGGGACGAAGAAAGUGACGGUACCUCAGGAAUAAGCCACGGCUAACUACGUGCCAGCAGCCGCGGUAAUACGUAGGUGGCAAGCGUUAUCCGGAUUUAUUGGGUGUAAAGGGCGUGUAGGCGGGAAGGCAAGUCAGAUGUGAAAACUCAGGGCUCAACCUUGAGCCUGCAUUUGAAACUGUUUUUCUUGAGUGCAGGAGAGGCAAUCGGAAUGUCGUGUGUAGCGGUGAAAUGCUUAGAUAUA
rnacentral:rRNA from 1 species